AUACCUUUCUCGGUCUUUUGGCUAAGAUCAAGUGUAGUAUGUGCUCUUAUCAGUUUAAUAUCUGAUAUGUGGGCUACAUGCCCACAAUGAUAUUAAAUUUAUUUUUUAUGGGGAAGGGCCCACCAUAGUAGCUUGCUGCUAGGACCCUGAUGUGUCAUCUAGGUGUUGCACUACUGCCUAGGCCUGGUGCACCCCGA
rfam:Triticum aestivum genome assembly, contig: Triticum_aestivum_CS42_TGACv1_scaffold_513314_6BS